rnacentral:rRNA from 1 species
UACGGAGGGAGCUAGCGUUGUUCGGAAUUACUGGGCGUAAAGCGCACGUAGGCGGCUUUGUAAGUUAGAGGUGAAAGCCCGGGGCUCAACUCCGGAAUUGCCUUUAAGACUGCAUCGCUUGAAUCCGGGAGAGGUGAGUGGAAUUCCGAGUGUAGAGGUGAAAUUCGUAGAUAUUCGGAAGAACACCAGUGGCGAAGGCGGCUCACUGGCCCGGUACUGACGCUGAGGUGCGAAAGCGUGGGGAGCAAACAGG